AUAAGGAAGGCAAGACUCUUAGAGAGUCAGUAACUAAUGCAAAGUCACACUGAAAAAAGUGACUGACUGCAGAGUGUGUUCACUCAGCUGCUAGGUCAGGCCUUUCCUCAUUAACUUAUUUAGAAAGGAAUUUAAAAUUUUUAUUACCUAGUUUAUAGUCUCAAGACAUUAUGUAAAGAAGUACCCUUGGGCCAAUAGCCAGCAUGGCAUUGUGGUUAACUCCCUGACUUCAUACCCUGGAUCUAUCACUGACUAACUGUGAAACCUUGAUCUAGUCAUUUAAGCUCUCUGUGCCUCAGUUUCUUCAUCUGUGAAAGGGGUAGGGGUGAUGUUAGUAUGUACCCCAUAGGGUCGGUAUGAGGAGUAAAUGAGGUAAUAUUUGUAAACCUCUUAAAAUGAUGUAGUCAGCACCAUGUAAGGGUUUGAUAAAGAAAAGCUAGUAGGACCAGUGGAUUAAAUCCAAGAGUGUCUGAGUUCCCGGCUAAGCUUUGGAAUGGAGUGAGGCUGGCUGCAAAGGAUGGGGCUGGCCUUGAGGUGGGAUCAUAUGCGGCUGUUUCUUUGACUGUCAGUCUUCAUUCUCAAAUCUUCUCACUUGAACACCUUUUAUUGGCACUAAAUUUGUUUUAGGAUAAUGAACGCAGCUGUUCCAAUUAUGGUCCUCACCCCACUCACCUCCAUGUUUCACCUCUCAAAGACAGCGCCUCUCCCUUGGGACUAGCUUUGAGCAUGGUGAGGCCGGCAUGCCCAGGGCUGAGGCUGGCACUUGGAGAGCCCUAGUGUCGGAGGGGUUAACACAUUAUCUGGGCAUCCUCAAAUAGUAUGAGCCCAUCAAAUAAACAAACACACCAACUUGCAAAUGAAUAGAAACAUGUUUAUUGGAGUAGAGGAAAAACAGCUUUUUGGCACAUUAACACUGUGGCAUCAGGAGUGGCAGCUGCAGCCGGGGACAACAGGCAGUGGGGAGGAGACAGUAAAUGUGCAUUUUCAAAGUGCUUAGCAUCAGGAGAGGGUAUUUCCAAGCAAAGAGGUGUGUAUGUGUGUGCAUGUGUGUAGAGAGAGAGAGAGAGACCCAUCAAAGCAGUACAGAAGACAGGAGGCAGUGGUAGUGUGCACAUAAGACCUAGGAGGAUGUGGGUUUGAAUCCCGUCUCUUUCAGGAAUUGGGUGGCCUUGGGCCCCUUACCUCUCUGAGAGUUUGCUUCUGCCUCCACACAAUUCUUUUAUAAUCUGUCCUUGGCAGGCUUGUCAGUGAAGAUCAUAUGAGAUGACCUGUUUUAAGCAUCUAGCACAGAACUAGGCACUCAGAAGCUGCUGGAUAAAUGCUACUCCUCGCUGUAGUUCUAUGUUAGAAUAUUCCCACUUUUCCGUGGUUCCUGAGGAGGAAGGCAGUUGUCUGUUCAGGCAGAAAAGUAUGAGGUAUGGGGCAGGGGAAAUUCUCAUGAGCAGGUUUCAACUGAGAAAUCAUUCAUUUUUGCAGUGGACAGACAAAUUGGAAAUGACAAACUCUUCCCAUUGUAAAAGUAAGAAUUGAAAGUGUUUAUUUUUAUUCAAUAAAUACCAAACCACGACUAUAGUAUACUUGUAUUCCAAUCUUUGAUGAUUUAAAAAGGGAAGAGAGAAAAAGGAGGGUGAAGGGAAGAGAGCGAGUGAAUGGCUAUGAGAAAGAGCACAAGACUACAUCCUGAGUUCCUGCACAUCACCUCCCACCCCCAAAAUAGCAGCUCCACUUGUAUACAUUGAUAAAUUUUCAAUGUAGCAGUUCAUUGGCAGAGAGGAGUCCAAUACCUAAAAAUAGUUUGAUAGCUCCUAGCAUAGAUCAGCUGCCAUAUCACCUGAUAUUUCUUCUUCCCCACUAAAAUGUAAGCUCCCUGAAGGCAGAAAUUAAUAAUGCAUAUAGGAGGUAAUCUUUGAUAUUUAGGAUAAGGCAAUGAAUACAUGAAUGAAUAAAUCAAUGAAUGAGUCAAUCAAUGAUUGGAGAGACAAGGGGAAUCAGACUCUCUUGGACUCAGGGAAUGUUACAUCUUUGAACAUUAAAAUUAUGUUUCUGUCUUUUCUUGCUCUUCUCAACCCACCUUGCCUGACAGUUUGUUACAUUGUCAAAUUCUGUUAUUUCUUCAUUUAGCCUGCCCCAUUUCACUGUGAGCCAAAUUCUUACACCCACACAGAUGAUCCUCAACCUUUGUAUGUUCAAGUCUUGCACAGUCCACAAAUCCCCCAGCGCACUCCACGGAAAUCACUUUGCAAACGCCAAACCUGGCCUUGUGUCCCGCCUUGAUGAAUGAGUCAUCACGAGCCGUGCUGCCCACCAGACAGCUUCUUGGUUCCAGGGGUGCUGCCUGCUUUGUCCUAUAGCGGUGUUAGUACAAUUGUUUGAAUAUUUCACUGCAUUCUUCCCCCACAGAAAAAUGAAAGUGCUGAUACCAGUGAUAAGAAACAUAGGUUUCAUAAACUUAACACAAUUGCGGCAAAGAUGGAAAUGAUUUGGUGUGCAGAAAAGAGCAAAUGUUUAGCCUCAAUCAGGUGCUUAUCAUACUUGAGCUAUCUGACUGUGUGCUCAGCUGUAAAGGAAAAGAAAAAAAGAAAGAGAACAGACACAAUGCAGUAAAUAUUGUCAGAGAUUAAGUCUAAAAUGUUGUGUAUUUUGGAAUUUUUUUUUUUAGGUUUCUAGAAAUGCAGAUAUAAAUCUAGUUUGUUUUCACUCUCAGGCAUGUUUGAGCAAUGUGAUGUGGUAGUGCAAAAUGCAAAAACCUCUUCCCGGAUUUUCUUGUCCUACUUUGUCAAAUAGACUCAACUGUGUGUUUAUAUUUUCAAAAAUUAUAGUAAUGUCCUUUCAGUUGCCUAGUUUUUAAGAAAACGUCUUUGAAAAUAAAUACUUGCCAUUUUUCGUACUCUUCCCCACAUGAGUGUCCACCGUGAGUCCCCUUUCGCCAAAUACUUCAUGUUCCUCUGCGUUGUGGUGCCCCUUCCUUUCCUCUCUACUUCUGCAUCCUUUGCGCUUCCUCCUAAAUCCUGUCUUCUCCUUCAUGGUCUCUGGAGGGGACACUGCAUAUGCUUAAUUCGUAUAGGGUAAUCACACAAACAUAAUAGACUCUAAAAAAACAUUUUGGUUGGAUUUUGAAGUGGGCCUACACUUUGCGUGUUUUUUUCUCAACAUCUUUUUUCCCUUACUCAAAAUAUCCUGCAGCCAGAGGCUUCUCUCGCUGGCACUGUUGGUUGGUUGUUGGUUUGUUUUUGCCUUAUCAGCUUCCUCUACCUCAUUUCAUGAUCAUUUUGACCUAAGACCAUUGUCCCAUGGCUUCUCAUUUCCAAGAUCUCUACUUGGGUCUUUUUUCACAACUCUGUGCUUGUCUCAUAAUUCCUAGUCUUGUUCAUGACUGAAGUAUUUUUUUAUCUCUCUGUGGACAUGAAACCUACAUAUAAAGUCCUAUUCUCAUUGCCCCGUUAGCUCUGAUUCCUCUGAUUUGAGUUGUCCUGUCUGUUGAGCCUUUUUUAUUUUGUUUCUUUAUUUGAUGUUCAUGGUGGCGUUCUUUGUGAAAUGUUCGGUGAUUCUGGAUUGAACCCAUCUCUGUAACACUGAACAAGCAUUUGUCUGCUUAUUGCCUGUCCUUUCAUUCUGAUGGAGGAAGUGGGUGGGAGGUACUGUUGCUGGAAUGUGUGCUGAUUUCGGUAAAAACGGGGAAGGUGUGGAAUGCGCUAUGGGCAGUGCGCUGGUCCUGACUGUGGUGAGUCCUUGAUCCUCCCAAUGUCACCGGCCUUGAGAACUCUGCCCUGCAAAGUGGAUUCAAUCUCCCUCCUCGCCUUAAGCCUUGCACUCCAUGUCCUUUUUAGCCUUUCCAACUUCUCCCACUGCAAUGAGAUGACUAAUGCUGUGUUGCUUCCAACCAUCUCAAGACUUUCAUUCCCCUCUUGGCAUGGGCACUUGCCCUGGUUGCUUCUCUCUGCUUGCUAUCAUUCAGGGAUUAUUCAAGUUCCUAUUCUUAGUAUGUUUCUCUUCCCUUACUUUGUGUAGGUUUGGCUGGGGCAGGGAGUUCAGAAAGGAAGAGAAGAUUGUAGCAAGCCACCUAGAACAGGAAGUCACCUUCUUCUCUGAGUCUGAGACAUACUGACGUCCAGAACAUCAGGAAACCGAGGAUCACAGCACAGGGCCUGGAUCUCUUGUUUGAACCUUGUUGUAGAUGCACAACCUGUGCAUUUCACACGUAGGAAGCAGGGGUGCGCAGUGGGUACUUGCUCUAUAUUAAAUGAAAUUAAGCCAAUGUUUCCUGCAAUGUGUGUGAUAGAUAUUGUGGAAAUGUGAAGUAGAGGAGGAGUGAGGGGGAAUUCAGUGUGCUGGUGGUAUCAAGCAUGCAAACUCUGUUUAAGAACUCCUUUCACAAAAGUUUUAAAAUUAUCCUUUCUAGCUUAAAAAAAUAACAGUAUAGACAGAAAAGAACCCCCACUAGUGUGCUUUCUUUCUCCUUCCAUUCCUGCCUCGAACAUCCCUUCCUCCUCAUAGCCUGGAAGCAUCCUCUGGGCCUCCACCUUCCCUUUGGGUUAUCCCCUGACCCUUGUCCAACACUUGCCUCUUUGUAGAGAGGAGCUUGUCGGACACGUGGGAAUCACGGGCCGGGUAGUUCAGAAGCCUGGCAACCUAGAUCCUUCUGAUCCUCUUCUCCUCGUGGCCAGCCCCACUCAUGGUCGCCUCUGAGAGUCUGGCCUCCACAAAGGCAGAUGAAACGUGGAGACACAUUUGCUGCCUCCAAGGAACAGUGCUUCAGAUGUUUGCCUUUCCUCCAGUCAUAGAACUGGAGAGCAGGGUGAGGCCUUAGGGACUGUCUGUUUACCGAUUCACACACUCAUUGUAUUUUGAAAUGAAGAAACGGACCCUAAACGCAUCAAGUGACUUUCCCAACAAGUUUGUGGUACUGGCUGAACUCAAAUUCAGAUCCGAGGUUACCAGUCCUGUAAAUGGAGAAACGGAACCUCACUACUCAAGCCAAGCUGAUGUCUACCCAAAACCAAACAUCCAAGUAUGCAUGGGGGUAGGUGCUUUGUGACUGGUUUCCAUGGACUCCACUUCAGAGCCCUUCAAAUCCUCCCCCUCUCUCCCACGCUGCAGCCAUGAGCUCUGCCUCAGCCUCAGAGCCUGGUUUAUUUCUUCAGGGUAUUUACGUCAAGGAUCCCCAGAUUUGUUAUUCAGUUCUUUCCCCCACUGAUUCCCAUCUCCAUUCCUCAACCACACACCAAACUGCACCGUGCCUCAUGGGCUCCCCUGAUGCAAUGGGUCCUCAGGAGCCCCUCCUGCAGCAUUUUGAGGGAGGUGUCUAUUUCUUCCAAAUUAGAGACCCCCCUGUCCUCUGGACACCUGUAGCUCUCCAGGAUGCACCAGCUUACUCUAGACAGGCUCAUAUCUUAAGCAGUGUGGACCCAGGAGGGGGAUCUUCCCUCCACACGAGACAUCGGCCCCAGGUUGAGUGGCAGAACGGCCUCUUCAGGCCAAAACCCAGGCUGCUGCCUCUCACAAAGACCACACUUUGGCAUUAAACAUCUUCCCAAAGUUACAAUACAUCCAGCCCCUGGGUAGUUUGUUCUAGAUUCUUUCAACACUUAAGUGUCUUAUUACAAGUCUCUUUCCUGUCAGGGAACGGGCAAUGAAAUGCUAUAGGCAAGGGGUACUCUGUUUACCUGGUGCGUUCCAGGCUGAAGACAAGGAGACAUUGUCCUCCAAAAUCCUUUUUUUUUUUUUUUUUUUUUUUAAAGCAAGUCUGCGCUCGAGUAAAGCCUUCCUAAAUUUUGAUUGUUACUGCGCUAUGAACAGAGGUUGUGUCCAUAUUUAAUGGAACACAGCAGUGAGAGAAACUGGAAUAUUGGAACUGCUGUCCUCUGCUGAUGAAAGGAGGUUGUAGAUAACAUUUUGCUGCUGGUAAACAGGCAAAAUAAAUACAGAAAUAUGGAGCCAUGCAAAAAACAUUCAACUCCGUCACAUGUUGUUGGUGGAAACCGCUCACAGAAAAUCAAACACAGACUUUGACUUCCAGUCACAGAAAUAGUAUGCUACAUGGAAUUUCUUUAGGAUUUGCAAUCUCUGUGCAGUUGCAGGCUCUGCUUGUGUUAUCUUUUCAUGAGGGUCUAGACCUGAGUUUGCAGAAUGAUUUAGAAAUCAGUGUAUUGCCUGCUUCAUAUAGUGUGAUUAUUCUUUUUUGAUUUUACAUGUCUACAAAUGGUGUUAGUGGUCAUAACUGCAAACUAUUGCUAUUUUUAUUGGUCUAGAAUGUGGAUGUUUGUGUUAGAGCAUCUGCAAAAGCAAACACUUUUGCUAUGUUGAAAAAAUAACGAAGAUCUAAGUGAUUUUAAGAUGGCAUUUUGUGAAUGCAUGCUAAAAUGCUGCUAGAUUUUUAUUUGUUUUACUGUUAAUGCUGCAUUGAAGAUAUAGUAGCACUGCAGCACAAUUUUUUUCUAUUUCGUCUUUUCCUUUGUCCUUCAAAAAAUACCCAUUCUAGUUGCAAUUUUUGUUCAAAAAUCAAGAUAGUCACGCAUUAAGAUAAGUUCAGUAUCUAAGAAGUAAAUAAAUGUAAAAGUAAAGCAUCUCAUAGCAGUAUCAGCUGUUUUGUGUCAUACAUAAAUAAUAUUUUGCUUAGCAUUAGCAUACUUUUUGUGUACAUUCUAAUAGAAUGGCCAAUAUAUCAAAGUCAUCUAAAUGUCUUUAUCGACACCUUAGGUAUUACACUCACUGAUGUUUAGCAUCUUUCAUAUUGCAAUUAUAAAGAUCCCUCAAAUCCUGGCUGAUAAAUUAUUUUAGGUUUCUUGUGAAGAAGGGUUGUGUUUAACUAUUAAUUUUCAUACCAGCUUAUACCUAAUAGAGUGUGUGGCUAAUGAAUGUGUUGAAUUAAAUUGAGUUAGAUUGAAUCAAAUUGAAUUGAACAGAAAUAAAUUGAAUUGUAUUGAAUGAUAAACCGGAGAGGGAUAAUGCAUGGUGAUCUAAUAGCAUCUGAUAAUAACAGAACACUGAAUUUAUACGCCUAACUUAGGAGAUAUUUGAUAACUCAUGAGUGGGAAAAUUGCCCUCCUCCUAUGUUCCUGGGCAUCCUUGCCAAAUGGAGAUGAAUGUCACAGGAGACCUCAGGCAAUUAUACAGUUCAAGCAUCUUCUGUAUUUGUGUGGCAGGAAAUUGUGCCAGAAGGGUUACAAACCUGCCUUAUUAUUCUGUAUGUCACCAAGCAGGAGCUCCAUUUUUUAAAGAUUUUUAAAAACAUUUUCUUUUGUUCAGUAGCAGCUGGCUGUGUGCGGGCACCUAGGAAUAAGUGAUGUGAGUGUGUGUGUGUGUGAGUGUGUGUGUGUGAGUGUGUGUGUGUGUGGACCAGAUAGGGGGUAUCAUUUGCUAGUUUUAAUUGGUAGAUUCAACAUCUUCCAGUAACCAUGCGGAAACCACUGGCUGAGACGUUACCAUGGUAAAUCAAACUCCGGUGUGUGAUUGGUAGACUUCUGAAGCAGGUACAGUCACUCUAAUCAACUCCAGGAAAGUUGAGGCCAUCUGGUUUUGCCUCACCUGGAAGUAAUUUACCACCCCAGGUGCAAAAAAUUUACCCUGAGGUCAGUAACAGUAAACCUGCCUCAAAGAUAUUCCAGCUGAGCAUGGAAGAGGAGUGGUGUGACAUAGUAAUUUCUGUUUGUUUUUAUGUUUUCAAGCUUGGGAAAGUGAGGGGGCUAAUCAUGCAAACCAGAGCCAAGAAUAGAUUUGGCAGGUGCUGACCCAGCUAGUUCCAGACAGCAAAGUGAAAACUCUUGAAGCUCAUUCUACAGCACUGCUUUAAUGUUCCAGUUCAGAAUGUCUAACUAAUUUAGAUUUUAUGAAAGGAACUUUGACUAAGCAUCAAGUUGCUCAACAAUAGGGCUGAAGAGACAGGCUUUUUUUUAUUUGAGUAGUAAGGACUGAAAUUGGGAAUAUUGACAAGGAGGGGAAUCUUUCAACAAGGCUUCACUCUAAAAAAAAAAGUAUUUUGGGCUGUAAACAUUAUGCAUAGCUAUUUAGUAUCGUAGAUAUUCUUGUAAUCAGACGGGAUGUAGCCAGCCCUAACCAAAAUGUAGACAGUGAGAAGACUUCAGAAUCAUUAGCUCUUUAGAAUAAUGUGUUGGGCUCGUAUGACAUUGAUUUGUUUUGACUGCACUUGAAAUGUGUGGUCUUUGCAAGUCAAUAGAAAUGAAGUCCUUUAUUGAAUAGGAAAAACUCCAUAAAGUGAAUUAUACAAAGAAAUGUAAGGCCAGGGUUCUCAGUCUCUUGUGUAUCUGGGGGAGUGGAUGCCAGGCAGGAUGGGUUGGGAUUUCAAAAGGAAAGCUCAGGGGCUUGGGAGAAAGGUCGGUGUUUUAGACUUUUUGGGCUCCUAGAGCAGAAUACCAUAGACUGGGUAGGUUAAAACAACAGACAUCUCUUUUUCACAGCUCUGGAAGCUAUGAAGUUCAAAAUCCAGGUCCCGUCAGUUUAUGUGUCUGGUGAGGGCCCUCCUCCUGGUUUGCGGACGGCUGGUCUUUUCCCUGUGUCCUCAUGUGGCAGAAGGGGCAAGGGGACUCUCCUCUCCCUUUUGGGAGGCUCCAUGAAGUCUCUGCUCUCCUGAUUUACUUACCUCAAAAAUGCUCCACCUCCAAAUACCUGUGCAUUGGGGAUUAAAUUUCAAUGCAUGAAUUUGGGGGACACAAACAUUUAACCUUUGGCAGUAGGUAUAGCAAAGUCGGAUUAAGGGACAGUCAUGGAGAAGGCCAUUUUGGAAACUGGGUUCUUCCAGAAGUGUGAUAAUCCCACAAGGCUGGAAAUAGGAA